UAUAGUCGGCAGAACCGACUUUCUCUUUAGCCAUGGUUUCUCUGAGUUAGUACCAAAGUCACUGGCCGAUACUACGCCACAGCCAAUCGCAAAUACGAACGUCUACCUUUCAAUAUCAAUUAACGAUCCAAAACACUUAGUAAAUAUAACAUCAGCUCAUAUUUUGAAAAAAAGUUCCAGCGGAGUCUACGAAAAAAUAAUACGAACACUACCUCUGACAGAAAUUUCCAAAGAUUUUUACAUAACACAGCCGCUCGUAGAGCCUUCGGAAAAAUUUCAAAUUUUAGUGGAGGGAAUCGUAAUUUCUACAGGUAAGACUAUCAGAAGGAUGUCAAAAAUUCCCAUCACACCUC